CCCCAGCCCCCGCCGCUCCGCGCCUGCACGCCGAGCCCGGCCGGCUUCCCUGCGCCCCCACACAAAGUCCCAGCACUCGAUGAAAGAGGCUGGAGUCCCUGUCUUCACCCUUUCUCCACUGCCUCCCUGUUCUACCAGUCUGUUCUGUGUCCAGGCAACUGCAAAAAGAUAUUUCAAAGACUCCUGCCGUGCCAUGUAGAUGUUUUCUCUUGUUAGUUUGGACUGCAGGUGUGUAAGCCUCAAGGAUGAAGUAUCAUGGUGCUGUUUUAGGUUCGGGGCAUACAGUCAUAGUACAAUAAAUCACAUAGUAACGCUCCACUUUGAACGCGCACGCACAGAAAAAGGAAAAGAAAAAAGCAUCUGACCUGAAUCAUUUUCUGGAAACACAUCUGGUUAAAAUCCAAAGUUUUAAAUUGAGUAAUAUUUUAAAAUACAUUUGUUAGGUAUUAAAUUACAGUGUUAUAUCUGGUAAUAUUUAUGAUACUAAUGUGUUAAGCGGAGGUUUAUAUCUGUCAAGAAAUAUGAAUGAUUGUCAUAUGGGGUAACAAAUGUAUCCUGAUAUAAAUAAUAUUUUAUGGUAUUUUUAACAUUAUUGUAGUCUUUUCUGCAGGAGUUACGUCUUGUCACAUUAUUGCCAAUUUGAAAUAAAAGCUCUGUGGCUAGAUACCAAA